rnacentral:rRNA from 1 species
AGAGUUUGAUCAUGGCUCAGGACGAACGCUGGCGGCACGCUUAACACAUGCAAGUCGAACGAGAGAAGAGGAGCUUGCUUUUCUGAUCUAGUGGCGGACGGGUGAGUAACACGUGAGCAAUCUGCCUUUCAGAGGGGGAUACCGAUUGGAAACGAUCGUUAAUACCGCAUAACAUAAUUGAACCGCAUGAUUUGAUUAUCAAAGAUUUAUCGCUGAAAGAUGAGCUCGCGUCUGAUUAGCUAGUUGGUAAGGUAACGGCUUACCAAGGCGACGAUCAGUAGCCGGACUGAGAGGUUGAUCGGCCACAUUGGGACUGAGACACGGCCCAGACUCCUACGGGAGGCAGCGGUGGGGAAUAUUGCACAAUGGAGGAAACUCUGAUGCAGCGAUGCCGCGUGAGGGAAGAAGGUUUUAGGAUUGUAAACCUCUGUCGUCAGGGACGAAAAAAGACGGUACCUGAGGAGGAAGCUCCGGCUAACUACGUGCCAGCAGCCGCGGUAAUACGUAGGGAGCGAGCGUUGUCCGGAAUUACUGGGUGUAAAGGGAGCGUAGGCGGGAUCGCAAGUCAGAUGUGAAAACUAUGGGCUUAACCCAUAAACUGCAUUUGAAACUGUGGUUCUUGAGUGAAGUAGAGGUAAGCGGAAUUCCUAGUGUAGCGGUGAGAUGCGUAGAUAUUAGGAGGAACAUCAGUGGCGAAGGCGGCUUACUGGGCUUUAACUGACGCUGAGGCUCGAAAGCGAGGGGAGCAAACAGGAUUAGAUACCCUGGUAGUCCACGCCGUAAACGAUGAUUACUAGGUGUGGGGGGACUGACCCCUCCCGUGCCGCAGCAAACGCAAUAAGUAAUCCACCUGGGGAGUACGACCGCAAGGUUGAAACUCAAAGGAAUUGACGGGGGCCCGCACAAGCAGUGGAGUAUGUGGAUUAAUUCGAAGCAACGCGAAGAACCUUACCAGGUCUUGACAUCGUAUGCAUAGCUCAGAGAUGAGUGAAAUCUCUUCGGAGACAUAUAGACAGGUGGUGCAUGGUUGUCGUCAGCUCGUGUCGUGAGAUGUUGGGUUAAGUCCCGCAACGAGCGCAACCCUUACUGUUAGUUGCUACGCAAGAGCACUCUAGCAGGACUGCCGUUGACAAAACGGAGGAAGGUGGGGAUGACGUCAAAUCAUCAUGCCCCUUAUGACCUGGGCCUCACACGUACUACAAUGGCUGUCAACAGAGGGAAGCAAAGCCGCGAGGUGGAGCGAAUCCCUAAAAGCAGUCUUAGUUCGGAUUGUAGGCUGCAACCCGCCUACAUGAAGUCGGAAUUGCUAGUAAUCGCAGAUCAGCAUGCUGCGGUGAAUACGUUCCCGGGCCUUGUACACACCGCCCGUCACGCCAUGGGAGUCGGUAACACCCGAAGCCUGUAGUCUAACCGCAAGGAGGACGCAGUCGAAGGUGGGAUUGAUGACUGGGGUGAAGUCGUAACAAGGUA